rnacentral:rRNA from 1 species
GUCAAGUAAGAAUACCCGCUGAACUUAAGCAUAUCAAUAAGCGGAGGAAAAGAAACUAACUAGGAUUCCCUUAGUAACGGCGAGUGAACUGGGAAGAGCUCAAAUUUUAAAUCACUUUGGUGAAUUGUAAUUUGAAGAAAGUGUUUUGACUUUUCAGUUUAAUCUAAAUCCUUUGGGAUGAGGUAUCAUAGAGGGUGAGAAUCCCGUUUGUGAUUAAACCUCGGAUUGCACUAAUUCACUUUCUAAGAGUCGAGUUGUUUGGGAUUGCAGCUCUAAAUGGGUGGUAAAUUUCACCUAAGGCUAAAUAUAUGCAAGAGACCGAUAGCGAACAAGUACCGUGAGGGAAAGAUGAAAAGAACUUUGAAAAGAGAGUUAAACAGUACGUGAAAUUGUUGAAAGGGAAACGAUUGAAGUCAGUCAUGCUAGUGAGGAAUCAACUUGGUGGUUUACUUCCUUGUGUAUUUUCUUACUUGGCAGGUUAGCAUCAAUUUUGGUUGUCAUCAAAUAAUUGGGGGAAUGUGGCUUUUCUUCGGGAAAGUGUUAUAGACCUUGAUAGAUGUGGCGACUGAGAUUGAGGUUUGCAGCGAAUGCCUUGGGCUAGUCAUCUGUCUUCGGACCGUCACCUCGCUUUUGACAGCUUGCUGAUGAUUGCGGGAUUUGGUGGCCUAGAAGUUAGAAUGUACAUAAAUUCGCUAAGGAUGCUGACGUAAUGGCUUUAAACGACCCGUCUUGAAACACGGACCAAGGAGUCUAACAUAUGUGCGAGUGUU